rnacentral:rRNA from 1 species
AUUGAACGCUGGCGGCAUGCCUUACACAUGCAAGUCGAACGGUAACAGGGAGCUUGCUCCGCUGACGAGUGGCGAACGGGUGAGUAAUGUAUCGGAACGUACCAUUCAGUGGGGGAUAACGUAGCGAAAGUUACGCUAAUACCGCAUAUUCUGUGAGCAGGAAAGCAGGGGAUCGCAAGACCUUGCGCUGAUUGAGCGGCCGAUAUCAGAUUAGCUAGUUGGUGAGGUAAAGGCUCACCAAGGCGACGAUCUGUAGCUGGUCUGAGAGGACGACCAGCCACACUGGAACUGAGACACGGUCCAGACUCCUACGGGAGGCAGCAGUGGGGAAUUUUGGACAAUGGGGGCAACCCUGAUCCAGCCAUUCCGCGUGAGUGAAGAAGGCCUCGGUUGUAAGACUCUUCUAGCAGGAACGAAACGGUAGGCCGACCUAAUAACUGGCUACUAAUAGACGGUACCUCGAAGAAGAAGACACCGGCGUAACUACGUAGCCACG